UACGGGGGGGGGUAAGCGUUGUUCGGAAUUACUGGGCGUAAAGGGCUCGUAGGCGGCCAACUAAGUCGGACGUGAAAUCCCUCAGCUUAACUGGGGAACUGCGUCCGAUACUGGAUGGCUUGGAUUCGGGAGAGGAAUGCGGAAUUCCAGGUGUAGCGGUGAAAUGCGUAGAUAUCUGGAGGAAUCACCGGUGGCGAAGGCGGCAUCUGGACCGGCAUUGACGCUGAGGAGCGAAAGCCAGGGGAGCAAACGGG
rnacentral:rRNA from 1 species